GGACACCUCCUGUACCCAAAGGGGCAGGGAGCAUGACCACCUGACAUACAGUCUGUUCCACAUGUUUGGGUCAGUCUGUAUAUUAAAUAUCAGUACAAUUUAAACUCUAUCUUAUUUUUAGAGUUACAAUAUAGAAGUGGUUGUUGUUUUUCCCAUCUAGUGGAUUUUUUGUGGACCCCUUGAUGCCAUUCAUUAGAGACCACUGGGGAGCCCACGAGCCUUUGGAGUCAAAAGAAAGAAAAAACAAAGAACUUAGAAGACUGACUUAACCUCUCUGAGCUUCAUUUUAUUCUUCUUUAAGAUGGACAAGACCUCUCCCUGUCCUCUAUCCUCUAUAGAGAUGGAGAAGAAGCAAGGUGUGGACGCUGGUAGAAUCUCCAAGAAAGAGCCAAGUACUCCCUCCGCCUUCCAUGGUGGUCCCCUUUCUGACCCUUUGGCUCCUAAUGGAGAGAGGGCAUGGUGAUGAUCUCCCUGGGAAGUAUUGAGAUCUGAGACUAGAAGAGAUCCAUGCUCAGCUUCAGGUCUGGAUGCACCUGCCAGAUGCUGAGUCCGAAAGAGCUCCUCAGCCCUACACAGCAUGAGAUAGCUGAUUGUGGUCUCCCAAAUCUCCAUCUUCUUGAUGUGGCAAGAUUGAAAGUGGUACUGGAAGUAGUGAUAUUUUUCAACAACUCCUGAAGGCUCAGUUGAAAGCUUGAUUCUCCAGUCCUUUCAGUUAUGUUGUAAUUCAGAGAAGGCUUCUUUAAGGUAAGUGAAGAACAGAGGGACAAGGAAUGGACUGUGCAAAGGCCCUGUGACAGAGGGAGAAUGACAAGAAAGAGGGACUGAAAGCAGUCCAAGGUGACAGCAGCAGAGAAACUGCAGGAAAUCACGGUGUGGGCUGAUGCUAAAGACGUGUGUGGUGGACCAACCACGCCAAGUCCUGAGAGCCACUGAAAAUUUUCCUUGGGACAUUAGACUUUCCGGUUUGCCUCUGUCUCCUGCACUGGACUGUGAACUACACGAGGGCAGAUACUAGGUCUUAGUUAGUAAAGCUCCUGCAGGCAAUCAAGUUUCUGGCAUGGCAGCCACUCAAAU
rnacentral:lncRNA from 1 species